rnacentral:lncRNA from 1 species
CUCGAUACUGGACCCCAUAUCAGUACCAUCCCAUUACAGUGUCAAUAUGCUCGAUAUGGUACUCGGUUCAGUGUAGUUGUUGGGUAUAAAAUACCCUCAGCCGAAAUUCUCAGCGGGAUUGACCCUUGCAGGCUCCGUCCCCAACUUCAACUGCAGGAAGACUCCGCCCGGACUCCUACGGGAGCCGGGCUCCGUCACCAACUUCAACUGCUGGUAAGCUCCGCCCGAACUCCUACGGGAGCCGGACUUCGCACCUGACUUUAACUGCAGGAAGACUCCGCCCGGACUCCUACGGGAGCCGGACUUCGCACCUGACUUCAACUGCAGGAAGACUCCGCCCGGACUCCUACGGGAGCCGGGCUCCGUCACCAACUUCAACUGCAGGAAGACUCCGCCCGGACUCCUACGGGAGCCAGGCUCCG